CAAUCUCCCUAGCAACAAGUGGUGAAAAAAUAAAUGACAGAUUAGCAAUCCAGUCGCAGAACGAGAACACGUUACCGACACGUCACUCUGGGCCGGCUCUACCAAUACGAACGAGGCGGAGGAGGGUCAUCGAGUGACAUUGAAGGAGCGGACCUGGGUGAAGCCAGAAUCAUGAAGAGGUGCUGCAUCCUGAGGGAGGUCAGCCGCCUCAGGAGGUCGGACACCACUGCCUGCAGGUCCUGGAUGUGGUCCCGGGUCUGGCCUUGGAUGAUGGUGGGGGCCAGCUGGAACUGGCUCAUGGCGACCACGUCGGCGUUCUCGCCCAUUUCGCUCAGCCUCUGCGCCAGGAAGGUCUCCAGCUGGGGUAAACAAACACAACAGACUUGUCUGGAUAUGCAUCUGGAAUGAGUUUGAAAUUAAGUACCAUCAAGACACGUCUGUUCACGGCUGUUGUGAAUGGUGGGCUAUGGAAGUAAUUCAUAAGAUUUGAGUAAAUUAGAAACAAUAUUAAUAUUUCUUGAAUCUAUUGUUUCACUGAAAUGUAUUGCUUUAAUUCCAUUUUUGUUUGUUUAGUGCUUUGUCUGUAAUCAGUGUUAAUAUAAUAUUGCAUUGAUAUUUGUAUUUAGGCUUCAUGAGUCAAUAUCAUUUUCACAAGCUCCUAUCUGUAAGCCCUUGUUCUACUUCUAUUGAACACAGAAUGUGUUCUUUAUAAUAGGAUUCUCAACGGCAUUGUUGAAUUCAGUAUGAAUUGUGAAACGAUGCAAAUUGUUAAGGCAAUUGAAUGACAUUCCCACCAAGUGAAAUCUAUCACAUUAUGUAAAUAUGUGUGUAAGCUAUAUUCAUAAAGACACUGAUGAUGACCUCCAUGAGUUCAUCGAUGAACUGGUUCCGUGACUGAGGGUUCUCCAGAAUCGUGAGGGCAUCCUCUCCCCUUGCAACACCCUCUGGAC